rnacentral:rRNA from 1 species
GGAAUCUUCCACAAUGGACGAAAGCCUGAUGCAGCGACGCCGCGUGGGGGAUGAAGGCCCUCGGGUUGUAAACCCCUUUCGGCAGGGAAGAAGCGCAAGUGACGGUACCUGCAGAAGAAGCUCCGGCUAACUACGUGCCAGCAGCCGCGGUAAGACGUAGGGAGCGAGCGUUGUCCGGAUUCAUUGGGCGUAAAGCGCGCGUAGGCGGUUUGGUAAGUCGGAUGUGAAAUCCCGAGGCUCAACCUCGGGACUGCAUCCGAUACUGCCCGACUAGAGGUAGGUAGGGGAGAUCGGAAUUCCUGGUGUAGCGGUGAAAUGCGCAGAUAUCAGGAGGAACACCGGUGGCGAAGGCGGAUCUCUGGGCCUUACCUGACGCUGAGGCUCGAAAGCCAGGGGAGCAAA